rnacentral:tRNA from 1 species
GGAAGGGUGGCUGAGUCCGGUCGAAGGCACUCGACUCGAAAUCGAGCGUGGCAGUAAUGUCACCGUGGGUUCGAAUCCCACCCCUUCCGCCA